rnacentral:rRNA from 1 species
AUUGAACGCUGGCGGCAGGCCUAACACAUGCAAGUCGAACGAGUGGCGGACGGGUGAGUCAUGUCUGGGAAACUGCCUGAUGGAGGGGGAUCACUACUGGAAACGGUAGCUAAUACCGCAUACCAUCGGAUGUGCCCAGAUGGGAUUAGCUAGUAGGUGGGGUAAUGGCUCACCUAGGCGACGAUCCCUAGCUGGUCUGAGAGGAUGACCAGCCACACUGGAACUGAGACACGGUCCAGACUCCGACGGUAGGCAGCAGUGGGGAAUAUUGCACAAUGGGCGCAAGCCUGAUGCAGCCAUGCCGCGUGUGUGAAGAAGGCCUUCGGUUUGUAAAGUACUUUCAGCGGGGAGGCGUUACUCGCAGAAGAAGCACCGGCUAACUCCGUGCCAGCAGCCGCGGUAAUAC